ACCAGGCACGGUGGUGCAUGCCUGUAAUCCCAGCAGCUUGGGAGGCUGAGACAGGAGGAUCGAGGAUCGUGAGUUCAAAGACAGCCUCAGCAAUGGCGAGGCCCUAAACAACUCAGUGAGACCUUGUCUCUA
rnacentral:sRNA from 1 species